GCGCCGGCAGGAUUGCCUUUUCCGGUGUCUGCUGCCGCAUGGUUGUUUGGUACGCGCCGGCAAGAACGGGCCCAGCAGGCUGCAAAAUGAAUGAAGAUGGAGGAUUCAUUCAUCCCUCAACAAACAUUUUACUGAACAUAGGCCAGGUGUGACACAGUCACUCUCUGCACUAUUGCAUCUGGAGAACUGAGGAUUUUCACCUUCAGGGAAAUACUGCUAUGGGAUUAGAUUCUUCAUGGUUCUGUUUUCUGAAGUCUUGCCUACACGUUAUAAAGGCAUCAAAUAAAUGGUAAGUAAUUUCCAUACUAUAAAUUCUAACUAACUCCUAAACUCUCAGCCAUUUCUUGUGCAUCUCAUGCAAUUUCCACAUGAAAGGUCAAAAUUACUGCAUACUGAUACUUUAAUUUUGAUACAGGGACAGUCCUGGGAAAACAAGAAUAGCUCAGAGACGGUCUCUUGCGGUUUGCUUUCCUCACUGCCGAAGUAGAGGUGGUCGGUGAUUAGUCCCCUUUGAAGCUCUGUCACACCUUUGGAAUGUGUGUGGCCCUUCCUCACCAUGUUAUUCUAGCUGUUCUAGUGCUUCUUGUCUUUUAAGAGAAUAUAAAUUGGUUCUGGUGGGAUUUGCAGCAGCUAGAUGCAAAUGUCCCUAUUUUUUCUCUUAAAAAACUGCACAGAAAACAAAUAGCUCGUCCAUCCCUGGCAGCUGCGAUCCAUAUAAGCCAACCUCAGGGCAUCUUAAAGGGAUCUGGGUAGGACACCAGGCAUGCUCCUACAGUGGUUUAAGUAGCCAGAUACUAAGAGGAUAUGACAUGGGAAAUGAUAGAUCUGGAGUGAGAUGAAGGCAAAGUCACUUCAGAAAUGAAGAAGAAGUGAAGAACCAUCACCAUAGAAAAUGUGGCAAGAGACUCAGGAUAGAGAUGAGGGAAACAACCCUGGUAUUUCCCCAUUUUACAGACAUUCCUCCUCCCACUGGUUCCAGGAAGUCUGUAAAACACAUGCAUAAUCUCACUGCAUUUGCACCACCCUGUGAGGUUACCUAUGAUUUACUCUUGCUUCUUGCUUCUAUUUGCCCAACUUCAUACAGCUAGUUAGUAGUUGUCAGAAUUCUGACUUCAGUCCCUUAUGCAUCUGAUUUCAUAGCAUUUGCUCUUUACACUUUCUUUGUCACCUUGUAAAAAGUAAUCAUCGUGAAAUAGAAUAUACCUUCUUUGGUGAGCUGGGUGCCAUUUUUGGAGUUGCCUUUAUCCGUGUCCUCUGAAUCUCUGGGUGUGGCUCUGCCUUUGACAGAUUUAUGGCUCUUCUCAACUUCACGGAGCUGCAGGGAAGAAAUGAAUCGUUAGUCCUGGCCAGGGAAAUGGGUGUUUUGAGUUUUGGACCCCAGGAUGGUGAGAUCCAGAGGGAAGCCACCUUAAAUCACCAGUUCUUGUUCUCACCGCUGGUCGGAGAGGCACCCAGAACUCAGGUUUGCAUAGCAUUUGAAGGAACAUCUGGCCAGGGGAAGACAGACCCUCAGCCAAUCCUGUAUUUCAGUGGUUUUCUACACCUGGGCAGGAGGUCAGUGAGAGUGACAGAAGGAAGCGUGGAUGGGGAACUGGCAGUGAGGCUGAUGAGAUUAGUUCCAGAAAAGAGGGUGAGA